rnacentral:rRNA from 1 species
GAUGAACGCUGGCGGCGUGCCUAAUACAUGCAAGUCGAGCGAACAGACGAGGAGCUUGCUCCUCUGACGUUGGCGGCGGACGGGUGAGUAACACGUGGAUAACCUACCUAUAAGACUGGGAUAACUUCGGGAAACCGGAGCUAAUACCGGAUAAUAUAUUGAACCGCAUGGUUCAAUAGUGAAAGACGGUUUUGCUGUCACUUAUAGAUGGAUCCGCGCCGCAUUAGCUAGUUGGUAAGGUAACGGCUUACCAAGGCAACGAUGCGUAGCCGACCUGAGAGGGUGAUCGGCCACACUGGAACUGAGACACGGUCCAGACUCCUACGGGAGGCAGCAGUAGGGAAUCUUCCGCAAUGGGCGAAAGCUUGACGGAGCAACGCCGCGUGAGUGAUGAAGGUCUUCGGAUCGUAAAACUCUGUUAUUAGGGAAGAACAAAUGUGUAAGUAACUAUGCACGUCUUGACGGUACCUAAUCAGAAAGCCACGGCUAACUACGU